GUGUUCUGUAUAAUAAGCAUUUUUAGCUCUCUCCUUGACAAGGAUGGAGGAAGCCCUCAGGCCCUCCAACACACAUACAAUUAAGACAUUGUGCCCUACUUUGUGGCAUCUAACCACAGUUUGGA
rnacentral:ncRNA from 1 species